GGCAAAGCUGACACCAAGAAGAUGCAAUUUAACAUGGAUAAGUGUGAUGUUCUCUGUUAAGGGUCCAGAGGAAAUCAACCGCUCAAGGCAGAAAUGGGAACAUGGCUUUGAAAACGGGUUACAGAAGUAUCUGGGGUUCCUACUGAACAUACGAAGAAGUUUCCUGAUGUUCCUUACUUCUUUCCUGGAUGUCUGGAGUAUUGCACUGCUUCUGAGUCAUGCUCUGGGACAACCACUUGUCACUCGGCCACAUGCUGUUGCAGAAGGUAGCUGGGAAGUGCAUACAAGCCCCAACAAUGUGUGGAAGAUGGGCAGCCAUGAUUCAUAAGGCUGGAGACAGACAGGCAUUAGCUGCUGAUGGUGCUGAUGACCCCUGCACUGGUGAGGAGGGGUCAGCCUUGGAGAAAAUGACCAAGUGGACCUGUUUGAUGGACAUGUGGAGAACUCCACUGUAAACUGUCUCAUACGGAGAAGGAGAAAAGGGAUGAUUCCAGGAGUAGAGUGUGUUCUGAGGGCCAGGCCACUUAAUCUGCAAUAAAGUGGGUCACUUCCUUCUCAUUUUUAAGCCCACACAUGCACACCUCUGUGGUCUCUCAUGGGGCUGUGGCUUCUUUCUGCAGUGCCCUUCAUCUCCCCUCCAUUGGGUGAACCCUGCUUCUCUUCCAAGCUAUUUAAAGACCAAGUUCAAAUACUACUAGGAUGAAGGCUGAAACCUCCCCCGACACCCUCUGCCACCCACCCUGACACCUAUCACAGGUAUGACUGCCAGGGGCUGAUGUUUCCUCCUCCAGGUCAGAGUCUCCUCGAGGGAGGAAACAGACCUCAAUCUCCUCAUAUCCUUAGCAUGUGCCACAGUAGAAGGUGGCUGAAAAUCAAACCCAACUAGACUAAAACAGGGAAAUCUCAAAACAAGUAACAGCAACUGGACUUUUGAAUGACCAUCUCAAAGUAGUCAUGUUCCAUGAAAAAUAUCUAUUCAGAAUACUGAAGAAAUGCAGUAUGAAUUUGUUUUUAAAACCACUUUAUUGAAAUAAGAUUAACAUGUUUACUGUAUACAACUUGAUGAGUUUGGGGAUAUGUGUACACUUGUGCAAUCACACGACCAUCAGGGCAUAAAUGUGUUCAUCACUUUCCAGACUUUUGUCCCAUCCCCUUACACACACACACACGCACACACACACACACACGCACACACACACACACACAGACACGUGUGUACCUAAGAUCCACCCCUCUUAGCAAAUUUUCAGAAUACGAUAUAGUAUUCUUAGCUGUUGUCACUAUGCUACUGGAACUUACUUUGCAUAACUGAACCCUUGUACCUUGUGAACAUCACAUUUCCAUUUCUUUCUCCCUACCACCCCUGGUAACUACCAUUCUACUCUUUGUUCCUAUGAGUUUGACUAUUUGAGAUUCACAUACAAAUGAAGUCAUUUGGUAAAUUGCCAUCUGUGCCCGGUCUGUUUAAUUAAGCAUAAGGGCCUCCAGUUCCAGCCAUCUUGUUGUGAUUGGCAAAAUUCCCUCCUUUUUAAAGCCUGACUAAUACUCCAUGCAUGUCUAUUCCACACUUUAUCUAUUUAUCCAUAGAUGGGCAUUAGGUUGUUUCCAUGUAUUUGCUAUUGUGAAUGCUUCAGUGAACAUGGGAGUGCAGAUAUUCCUUCCUGAUCCUGAUUUAAGUUCCUUUGCAUAAAUACCCAGAAGUAAGAUUACUGGAUUGUAUGGCAGUUCUAUUUUUAAUAUAUGUUUGUUUUAUAUAAGAUUGCAAGCUUGUUGAUCAAAAUUAUGAGCUUAAAAUGGAAAAGUAAAGGGAAGAGCAAUGAUUUCUAAGAAGCAGGUGUUAAAAGUAUGAAAUGGAAAAAUAACAUCUCCACCUGCCAAUAUAUUUCAUCAUAAUUAACAAAUUUCCAAUGAAAAUGCAACAAAUAAUGAUUUAGUGUUUGAUGGAAAAUGAAGUUUAAUCUCCAAUUAUCACUGAACUCAUUACGUAUUUAUGUCAUUCAUACACAGUGAGCAAUUAUUCAUUUUUUAUUUCAAGAUAAUUGUCAAAUUAAGCUGGACAAACAACAUAUGAUGAAAAAUUGGUCACUCAUUCUUAUAUUGCUUUAGAAUGAUGAUAGUGUGGAGGAUGUCAUUAAUUAAUGUAAUGUCAUUCACAUGGUGGAGACUUGACAUCCAUGAAAUGUACAAUUAAUAAUGAAAAUGUCACAGUGUUAAUACCACACUUCCUGGUCACAUCAAAUUUUUUCACCCCAGCUUAAAUUAAAUCUACCUGAAACCCCUGGUUCAAUUUUCAUGAGAGUCAAGUAAUUUGUAAUUUUUGACAAAGAAUUUAAAUUCCAUACUUCACUCUCACUAUAUGAAAAAUGAUUUUUUGUCACAGAAUUCUCUUAAUCUCAACUCUUUAAAGAAUGUAUUAAUAUUAUUUCAGUCCAAAUGCCUUAAAUGUUGAAAUCCCAUAUUUUAAUUCUUUAAUUUGAAAGCGACUUUCUUUCCCCAGCAUUUCUUUGCUUUUAUUUAUAUUUAGUCUUAACUCUCAGCAAAAUUCAUUUAAAAAAUGAUAUUUCUAUCUCAUAAACAUGACAGAAUGUGUUGAAGGCUCCCUGCAGGAAAACCAUGAGUACAGGUAGAAACCCCUGCAGGGUCCGCAGCUAGAGUGUCCCCAGUGAAAUGUCGCACGAGAGAUCCUAAUUAGGGAGGCUAGGAGAAAAGAGAUGCUACCUUUCAAACACAACAUUUAAGAAACAAGUCUUAUUAACACGGCAGGUUUUAUGAAACACUGGAAUCUUAUGUAAGUUUGGCUUGCUUUUUGUUCCUGAAAAAAGGACUGCAUUUGGGCAAACAAAAACUGAAUAUCUUAAAUCAUGAACUUGAGACUUAA